rnacentral:rRNA from 1 species
AUUGAACGCUGGCGGCAGGCUUAACACAUGCAAGUCGAGCGGGGGGAGGUAGCUUGCUACCGGACCUAGCGGCGGACGGGUGAGUAAUGCUUAGGAGUCUGCCUAUUAGUGGGGGACAACACCUCGAAAGGGAUGCUAAUACCGCAUACGUCCUACGGGAGAAAGCAGGGGAUCUUCGGACCUUGCGCUAAUAGAUGAGCCUAAGUCGGAUUAGCUAGUUGGUGGGGUAAAGGCCUACCAAGGCGACGAUCUGUAGCGGGUCUGAGAGGAUGAUCCGCCACACUGGGACUGAGACACGGCCCAGACUCCUACGGGAGGCAGCAGUGGGGAAUAUUGGACAAUGGGGGGAACCCUGAUCCAGCCAUGCCGCGUGUGUGAAGAAGGCCUUAUGGUUGUAAAGCACUUUAAGCGAGGAGGAGGCUACUUUAGUUAAUACCUAGAGAUAGUGGACGUUACUCGCAGAAUAAGCACCGGCUAACUCUGUGCCAGCCGCCGCCGUAA